rnacentral:rRNA from 1 species
UACGGCGGCCAUAGCGGCGGGGAAACACCCGGUCCCAUACCGAACCCGGAAGUUAAGCCUGCCAGCGCCGAUGGUACUGCAAUCGCGAGGUUGUGGGAGAGUAGGACGCCGCCGGAC